rnacentral:lncRNA from 1 species
AUGAAGUGCUGGUACCUGAGUUGCUAUGGUUUCUUCUAGUUCAUUUUUUUGUUCUGGUAGCAUACAGAUUAAAAAUUAGAUAAGGGAUGAAAUUAUUUUCUACUAAAUUUUAUCAAAAAUUUGAAACACAGUUAUAUAAUAGAAGUGACCCCGUGUGUGGCUGCUCUACCCUGGGCAUGCUCUUUCUGUAAAUAUAACUUUUAUUUCAUUGGUAGAUUGGGUGAAAUUCGUAAUUUAGUUUUUUCUAGAGAUGUAUCUACCAAAAUCUCUUAACAAUUCCUAGUUUUCUUUCCCAGCCUUCUUCUCUCCAGAUGUCUGUCAGUUACCUUU